rnacentral:rRNA from 1 species
AUACUGAGGGUGCAAGCGUUAAUCGGAAUUACUGGGCGUAAAGCGCACGUAGGCGGUUUAUUAAGUCAGAUGUGAAAGCCCUGGGCUUAACCUGGGAACUGCAUUUGAGACUGGUAGGCUAGAGUAUGGUAGAGGAUAGUGGAAUUCCGGGUGUAGCGGUGAAAUGCGUAGAUAUCCGGAGGAACAUCAGUGGCGAAGGCGGCUAUCUGGACCAAUACUGACGCUGAGGUGCGAAAGCGUGGGGAGCAAACAGGAGUAGAAACCCCAGUAGUCC